UACGUAGGGUGCAAGCGUUGUCCGGAAUUAUUGGGCGUAAAGAGCUCGUAGGCGGUUUGUCGCGUCGGCUGUGAAAACCUGGGGCUCAACCCCGGGCCUGCAGCCGAUACGGGCAAACUAGAAGAUUCGGUAGGGGAGACUGGAAUUCCUGGGUGUAGCGGUGAAAUGCGCAGAUAAUCAGGAGGAACACCGGUGGCGAAGGCGGGUCUCUGGGCCGAUAUUGACGCUGAGGAGCGAAAGCGUGGGGAGCAAACAGGAUUAGAACCGUACGUCAGAC
rnacentral:rRNA from 1 species